AUGUUUCAGACUGCACAACAAAUUACAGCAAGACAGGAGCAGGACCCUGCAAACCUUCUGCAGAUGUCCCAGCGCUGCUGCCCGCUCCCAGGAGGGAAGCCCUGGCCCCACUGGGAGCAUCACGCAGCCAACGGCACGACGCUCCCUCUUUGUUUCUCUGCUCGGUGUAAUGAAUCCUGCCUCCCACUCAGAGCUGCUAAGAGAAGUUACCGACGAGGAGAAAUUCAUCAAAUUGUAAUCCAGGGAGAACACGAGAGAGAGAGAGAGAGAAGGCCAACAACAGCACUAGACUUGGAUGAUGUGAACUGGUGGAGAGAGCAGCAGCCUUCUGCCUCUCCUCACAUGGUUGGGAAGGGCGGAGCAGAUCCAGAGCCACCGCAUCUCUUCACACCUGGCUGGAACCAGGUCAGGCAGCUAAUGCGUUCCUUGGGUUCGGCCGCGACUUGUUGGAGACAGACAAGCGCUGGAGGCUGGGAGAAGGAAUUCCAGCGAGAGACAUAUGUGGGGGAUGCAGUGCCAGGAGAGCCAACAGCAAGCUGGAGACGGAGAGCUCUGCUCCGUGCAACGCAGAGAGGCAGAUCUAAUAGAGGCUUGAUGACUUUGAAACUGUCCCUCAUAGCCUCAAUUAAGACAGGAGAUUUCAUUAAGCGCACAAGCAAUGCUCAUGCCCUGCUGAUGGGCAACAUUCCAGCUCCGGAGGUGAUCACUGUCCGUGUGGGUUCAUUAUUCCAGCAGCAGACGGUGCUUUAUUCCAGCUUUAACUCCGUGCAACUCAGGGAGGAGCGGUACCGGGCCCACAUCAAACUAAGGGAAUCUCACGAGGAUGGGGAGGAGAAAUGCUCGGAAGAACUGAUCGUCCCUCAGAGCGUUUUCACGUGGAGCAUUUACGUUUUCCCUUCAGCCAAAACUUUUUCCUGGUUUUAUAAUUUAUUUUUUAAGUAA
rnacentral:lncRNA from 1 species